CCUACGGGGGGCUGCAGCAAGGAAUCUUCCGCAAUGGGCGAAAGCCUGACGGAGCAACGCCGCGUGCGGGAUGACGCCCUUCGGGGUGUAAACCGCUUUUCGGGGGGACGAAGGCUUUGGCUUGACGGUACCCCCGGAAGAAGGACCGGCUAACUACGUGCCAGCAGCCGCGGUAAUACGUAGGGUCCGAGCGUUGUCCGGAGUUACUGGGCGUAAAGCGUACGCAGGCGGCGGCGUUGGCCCGGCGUGAAAGCCCCCGGCUCAACCGGGGAGGG
rnacentral:rRNA from 1 species